UCAAAGCCGCCUCCACUUCCCAAAUUAUUUACUGCUAAUCAGAAUCUCAGGGCCGACUGCUCAACCGAUAAUCACCGCAUGAGGGAUCUUGUCCUGUACGUCUAGGGUAUGGGGGCUUCCCGCUGAUUAGUAAAAAUAUCAAGGAAGGUGUUGCGUGCCCGGCGCCAGGCGAAGCAGCAGCAGCAGCACGUUUAUCGCGCGACACUAUCAACGAACAUGAUGGCUACUUUAAAAAACAGUUUCCCGAGCUUUCAUCGGAUCUUCACUGAUUCAUUUUUUGCGCAUCUUUUCUGCACCAUCUUGACCACAUGCAUUAUCGCUGGCACUACUAUAAUCCAGCCCCAGUUAUUACGUUCCAUCUACACCACUUCAUGUACUAUCUAUCGUCGUCGCAUCUUGGCGAUUUUAGAGUAUCGUUAUUAUGGCAUGAUGCUCAUUUUUACAACGACUUUCGUUGUGGGCUCAUUGCGGCUUCGUUUGAUUGGGAUGAGAGUCAUUGUCGUCAUCGGUCUCGACCCGAAAAUCUGUGGAGUGGACCGACUAUUUGCUUCGUUAUCAUGCCGUAACAAUACGAUAACCAAAAAGAAACUGGAAGAAUCAGUUGUACCAUGAUGUUGCUCAAGUCCGUCAUUUGUGCGACGAUUUCGUUAUCUACCGUUUGCUGUUUCUGCUGCUGAUUACUCCCUUCACUCUUGGCGCACGAGACCAGAUUUGGGUGGGGCCUUGACUUGAGGUAAUAAAUUAACCGCAGGUUUUUUGUGUGAUUUGAUUGACCAAUCUCCGCCAAUCGAAAAUUAAUGCAUACUCUCAUCGUCUGCUAUAUAGUUGUAUUUUUCAUAGGGCCAAA
rnacentral:sRNA from 1 species